GUCGUGGGGGAUAACGCAGCGAAAGCUGUGCUAAUACCGCAUACGAUCUAUGGAUGAAAGCGGGGGACCGUAAGGCCUCGCGCGAUUGGAGCGGCCGAUGUCAGAUUAGCUAGUUGGUGGGGUAAAGGCCCACCAAGGCGACGAUCUGUAGCUGGUCUGAGAGGACGACCAGCCACACUGGAACUGAGACACGGUCCAGACUCCUACGGGAGGCAGCAGUGGGGAAUUUUGGACAAUGGGCGCAAGCCUGAUCCAGCAAUGCCGCGUGCAGGAAGAAGGCCUUCGGGUUGUAAACUGCUUUUGUACGGAACGAAACGGUCUGGGUUAAUACCCUGGGCUAAUGACGGUACCGUAAGAAUAAGCACCGGCUAACUACGUGCCAGCAGCCGCGGUAAUACGUAGGGUGCAAGCGUUAAUCGGAAUUACUGGGCGUAAAGCGUGCGCCAGGCGGUUUUGUAAGANAGUCNU
rnacentral:rRNA from 1 species